GCGUCCAUAGCUCAGUUGGUUAGAGCACCACCUUGACAUGGUGUGGGUCGGUGGUUCGAGUCCACUUGGACGCACCA
rnacentral:tRNA from 1 species